rnacentral:rRNA from 1 species
CCUGGCCUUGACAUACUAAGAACUUUCCAGAGAUGGAUUGGUGCCUUCGGGAACUUAGAUACAGGUGCUGCAUGGCUGUCGUCAGCUCGUGUCGUGAGAUGUUCGGGUUAAGUCCCGCAACGAGCGCAACCCUUUUCCUUAUUUGCCAGCGGGUUAAGCCGGGAACUUUAAGGAUACUGCCAGUGACAAACUGGAGGAAGGCGGGGACGACGUCAAGUCAUCAUGGCCCUUACGGCCAGGGCUACACACGUGCUACAAUGGUCGGUACAAAGGGUUGCUACCUCGCGAGAGGAUGCUAAUCUCAAAAAGCCGAUCGUAGUCCGGAUCGCAGUCUGCAACUCGACUGCGUGAAGUCGGAAUCGCUAGUAAUCGCGGAUCAGAAUGCCGCGGUGAAUACGUUCCCGGGCCUUGUACACACCGCCCGUCACACCAUGGGAGUUUGUUGCACCAGAAGUAGGUAGUCUAACCGCAAGGAGGACGCUUACCACGGUGUGGCCGAUGACUGGGGUGAAGUCGUAACAAGGUAGGCGUAGAUGA